rnacentral:lncRNA from 1 species
AGAUCAUUCAUUAAGGAUCCUAUGCUCAGUCCAAUGGAUGGCUGUGAGCAUCCACCUAUGUAUUUGUGAGGCACCGGCAGAGCCUCUCAGAAGAGAGCUAUAUCAGGCUCCUGUCAGCAAGCACUUCUUGGAAUGAACAACAGUGUCUGGGUAUGGUGAUUGUAAAUGGGAUGGAUCCCCAGCCUUGCAUGGCUAUCUUCUGAAAGCCUCCACCCAGAAGCUGACUCAGACAGAUGAAGAGACCGACUGCCAAGCAUUGGAUGGAGCUUGGGGACUCCUAUGAAAGACUAGUGUUAAGGACUGAAGGCCCCAAAGGGAAUAAGAACUCUGCAGGAAGUCCAAUAGAGUCAGCUAACCUGGACAUUUGGGAGCUCUUAGACUGAACUGCCAACCCAGGAGCAUGUAGAGCCUGGACCUAACCCCCUACACACCGACCCACAUAUGAACACCUAUUACAGGGGCUAUCCCUAAAACUGUUUCCUGUCUUGGGAAUCCAUUUCCCUAAUUUGGCUGUCUUGUCUGACCUCAAUGAGAGACGUGCCUAGACCUACAGUGACUUGAUGUGUCUGGUGGGGGGAUAUGAGGGCUUUCCAUUCUCUCAGAGGAAAAAGGGGGAGGGAGAGAGAACAACUGUGGGAGGGAGGAGUAUGAGGUGGGACAUCAAUCAGGAUAUCAAAAUGAAUAAAUUAAAAAAAGCUAAAAGAUC